UACGUAGGGGGCAAGCGUUGUCCGGAAUCAUUGGGCGUAAAGCGCGUGUAGGCGGCUCGGUAAGUCUGCUGUGAAAGUCCAGGGCUCAACCCUGGGAUGCCGGUGGAUACUGUCGAGCUCGAGUCCGGAAGAGGCGAGUGGAAUUCCUGGUGUAGCGGUGAAAUGCGCAGAUAUCAGGAGGAACACCAAUGGCGAAGGCAGCUCGCUGGGACGGAACUGACGCUGAGGCGCGAAAGCGUGGGGAGCGAACAGG
rnacentral:rRNA from 1 species